UUGGCUGAUUAAAUGUUUCAA
rnacentral:piRNA from 1 species